GACGAACGCUGGCGGCGUGCCUAAUACAUGCAAGUGGGACGCAAGGAAACACACUGUGCUUGCACACCGUGUUUUCUUGAGUCGCGAACGGGUGAGUAACGCGUAGGUAACCUGCCUAUUAGCGGGGGAUAACUAUUGGAAACGAUAGCUAAUACCGCAUAAUAUUAAUUAUUGCAUGAUAAUUGAUUGAAAGAUGCAAGCGCAUCACUAGUAGAUGGACCUGCGUUGUAUUAGCUAGUUGGUAAGGUAAGAGCUUACCAAGGCGACGAUACAUAGCCGACCUGAGAGGGUGAUCGGCCACACUGGGACUGAGACACGGCCCAGACUCCUACGGGAGGCAGCAGUAGGGAAUCUUCGGCAAUGGACGAAAGUCUGACCGAGCAACGCCGCGUGAGUGAAGAAGGUUUUCGGAUCGUAAAGCUCUGUUGUAAGUCAAGAACGUGUGUGAGAGUGGAAAGUUCACACAGUGACGGAGCUACCAGAAAGGAC
rnacentral:rRNA from 1 species